UACGUAGGGUGCGAGCGUUGUCCGGAAUUAUUGGGCGUAAAGGGCUCGUAGGCGGUUUGUCGCGUCGGGAGUGAAAAUCCAGGGCUUAACUCUGGACUGGCUUUCGAUACGGGCAGACUAGAGGUAUGCAGGGGAGAACGGAAUUCCUGGUGUAGCGGUGAAAUGCGCAGAUAUCAGGAGGAACACCGGUGGCGAAGGCGGUUCUCUGGGACGGUACUGACGCUGAGACGCGAAAGCGUGGGGAGCGAACAGG
rnacentral:rRNA from 1 species